rnacentral:rRNA from 1 species
UACGGAGGGGCUAGCGUUGUUCGGAAUUACUGGGCGUAAAGCGCGCGUAGGCGGAUCUGCAAGUCGGGGUGAAAUCCCGAGGCUCAACCUCGGAACUGCCUUCGAUACUGCGGGUCUCGAGUCCGGGAGAGGUGAGUGGAAUUCCUAGUGUAGAGGUGAAAUUCGUAGAUAUUAGGAAGAACACCAGUGGCGAAGGCGGC